CCUACGGGAGGCAGCAGUGAGGAAUAUUGCUCAAUGGGCGCGAGCCUGAACCAGCCAAGUCGCGUGAAGGAUGACUGAUCUACGGUUUGUAAACCUCUUUUAUAUGGGAAUAAAGUGAGGAACGUGUUCCUUUUUGUAUGUACUAUAUUAAUAAGGAUCGGCUAACUCCGUGCCAGCAGCCGCGGUAAUACGGAGGAUGCGAGCGUUAUCCGGAUUUAUUGGGUUUAAAGGGCGCGUAGGUGGUUUAUUAAGUCAGUGGUGAACGUUUGUGGCUCAACCGUAACAUUGCAAUUGAUACUGGUAGACUAGAGUAUAGGUGAGGGAGGCGGAAUGCGUGGUGUAGCGGUGAAAUGCGUAGAUAUCACGAAGAACUCCGAUGGUGAAGGCAGGUUACUAAACUAUAACUGACACUGAGGCACGAAGGCGUGGGGAGCAAACAGGAUUAGAUACCCGAGUAGUC
rnacentral:rRNA from 1 species